rnacentral:rRNA from 1 species
GUUGUUGCAGUUAAAAGGCUCGUAGUUGAAUUUCGGGGUUAGUAGGUUGGUCAUGCCUCUGGUAUGUACUGGUCUCACUGAUUCCUCCUUCCUUAUGAACCGUAAUGCCAUUAAUUUGGUGUUGCGGGGAGUUUGGACUGUUACUUUGAAAAAAUUAGAGUGUUUAAAGCAAGCUAACGCUUGAAUACAUCAGCAUGGAAUAAUGAAAUAUGACGUUCGAUCUUAUUUUGUUGGUUUCUAGGAUUGACGUAAUGAUUAAUAGGGAUAGUUGGGGGCAUUAGUAUUCAAUUGUCAGAGGUGAAAUUCUUGGAUUUAUUGAAGACUAACUACUGCGAAAGCAUUUGCCAAGGAUGUUUUCAUUAAUCAAGAACGAAAGUUAGGGGAUCGAAGACGAUCAGAUACCGUCGUAGUCUUAACCAUAAACUAUGCCGACUAGGGAUCGGAUGAUGUUAAUUUUUUAAUGACUCAUUCGGCGCCUUACGGGAAAC